UACGGAGGAUCCAAGCGUUAUCCGGAAUCAUUGGGUUUAAAGGGUCCGUAGGCGGUUUUGUAAGUCAGUGGUGAAAGCCCAUCGCUCAACGGUGGAACGGCCAUUGAUACUGCAAGACUUGAAUUAUUGGGAAGUAACUAGAAUAUGUAGUGUAGCGGUGAAAUGCUUAGAGAUUACAUGGAAUACCAAUUGCGAAGGCAGGUUACUACCAAUAUAUUGACGCUGACUGGAACGAAAGCGGUGGGGAGC
rnacentral:rRNA from 1 species